GACGAACGCUGGCGGCGCGCUUAACACAUGCAAGUCGAGCGAAGCGGCGGACGGGUGAGUAACCCGUGAGUAACCUGCCUUAGACAUUGGGAUAGCCUCGGGAAACCGGGAUUAAUACCAAAUGGUCUAAGAUGGACUCGAGUCCCAUUAGCUAGUUGGUGGGUAACGGCCCACCAAGGGGACGAUUGGUAGCCGGCAGGAGAGGGUGAACGAGAACAGUGGAACUGGGAAACGGACCAAACUCGACGGGAGGCAGGAGGGGGGAAUAUGGAAAGAUGGAGGGAAGUAUGAGGCAGCGACGCCGGGUGAACGAAGAAGGAUUUCGAGUCGUAAAGAUGUUUUAUAUGGGUAGCGGUACCAAAAGAAAAAGCCCCGGCUAACUACGUGCCAGCAGCCGCGGUAAUAC
rnacentral:rRNA from 1 species